rnacentral:rRNA from 1 species
UACGUAGGGUGCAAGCGUUGUCCGGAAUUAUUGGGCGUAAAGAGCUCGUAGGCGGUUCGUCGCGUCGGCUGUGAAAUCCCGAGGCUCAACCUCGGGUCUGCAGUCGAUACGGGCGGACUGGAGUUCGGCAGGGGAGACUGGAAUUCCUGGUGUAGCGGUGAAAUGCGCAGAUAUCAGGAGGAACACCGGUGGCGAAGGCGGGUCUCUGGGCCGAUACUGACGCUGGAGGAAGCGAAAGCGUGGGGAGCAAACAGG